CAGCAGCCGCGGUAAUACGUAGGGUGCAAGCGUUAAUCGGAAUUACUGGGCGUAAAGCGUGCGCAGGCGGUUAUAUAAGACAGUCGUGAAAUCCCCGGGCUCAACCUGGGAACUGCGAUUGUGACUGUAUGGCUAGAGUGUGUCAGAGGGGGGUAGAAUUCCACGUGUAGCAGUGAAAUGCGUAGAUAUGUGGAGGAAUACCGAUGGCGAAGGCAGCCCCCUGGGAUAACACUGACGCUCAUGCACGAAAGCGUGGGGAGCAAACAGGAUUAGAUACCCCUGUAGUCCCUGUCUCUUAUAC
rnacentral:rRNA from 1 species